UUCAGAAGAUCUUGCGUACUAUUUAGAAAAAUGUUCAUAUAAAUUGAAGUUUUAGCUUCAAUAAACCUAGCCAGAUUUUCAAACCUCAGAUAUGGCAAAAAACAGUGGGUGCCGGGUACUUCAGACUUGUCAUGUAAAUCAUGCAAGACUAAAACUGAUAUUGAAAACUCUUUCUAAAGUAUGACAUGAAAAGCCUAUUUUCCAACCAAAUAGAUUUCACAGGUUUCCUUGCUGCUGUUUCUGGAUCAGGGCUGUGGAGUCUCAGGUCAUCUAACAAGGAAUCUAAUGUGUGUGUGAAUUUUUGGCAGUGGGAGAACAGCUAGUAACUGUAGGAGUGCCCAUACCACCUGUGUGCAAGUUUACUAUGUAAAAGUACAUAUCUACAAAGAUCACUGAAAAUACAUGGAUACCCGUGAAGACCUGCAGAGGAAAAGCUUAUCUGCAGACUUAAGUGACAGAAAUGAAGAUGGACAAAAUCUACUCCCUGAGAUCCUGACUAACUUCUGGCAACACCAUGCUAAUGAGAUGCAAGAAGAAUGCUCUGUGGAUCUUGGGAAAUGCAAAGGAGUGUGAGGAAAAAUGCUGGGGACAACUACUAAGGUAUAAAUUAGUGGAG